CCUCCUGCCCCAAGAGGGUACGACAAAUGCUUCUAGAACUAACAACGGAACUUCACAGAGAAACAGUACACGGGCUAAACACAGAAAGAAGGACAGUGCCACAGAACAAAGACUCCAGAAACAGUCCCCACAAAUAUGCCCAUCUGAGUUUUGAAAAGGGUGCUGAAGCAAUUCCAUUCCAGACAGCUCGGUUUGGUGCCGACCACAGCCAUCUAGAGCUUGUGAGGAGCUCAGAGAGGCCACCCUCAGAACACAGCAGCAGCAGAGGAGGAGGAUGGUGGUGUGACCGAGGUCCUGCCAGGCUUCUGUGAGGCUUGCUGCUUGUCUGGCGUCUCGAGACCCCACAACCUUGUCCCGGUGGGCGCAGCACCUCACAACCUCCAGACCCAUGGCCACUGGUCUGAGGACACCCCUUUCCAGCUCCUGUACUUCGUCCUCGAGGUCGGCGCGGAGGACGAAGAAGUGAGCAGCCCUUGGGAAGAUGCUCCUCUGCACGGAGCUGAGAAGAGCCCAGAACGGGGCCUCGUUGAUGGAGCUGCUAACUAUGUGGGGGGCCUGGAGACAGCGCGAGUGGAAAUGCGGCCGAACCGGGCAGAUGAGGUUUCAGCCUUGCUGGGGCUCAAGUCCUGCUAGAAGAGACCGACGUGAAGCCCGUAAGUGGAGUGUUGAUGGGGGAGGAGCUCCGUUCUCCUUCUCGAGUAGGUUACGUUCCACGAGGGGUUGUCAGGAUCCCCACCGUGCACCUGAGAUCAGGCCAGUCAGGGGUCAGUGUGUGUGUGUGUGUGUGUGUGUGUGU